rnacentral:rRNA from 1 species
ACGAACGCUGGCGGCGCGCCUAAUACAUGCAAGUCGAGCGAGAACCAGGGCUUGCCCUGGGGAGAGCGGCGAACGGGUGCGUAUCACGUGAGCAACCUGCCUCAGAGACCGGGAUAACUCGAGGAAACUCGGGCUAAUACCGGAUGCCCUCGGUGGACCGCAUGGUCCGGCGAGGAAAUGGAUUCCGCUCUGAGAUGGGCUCGCGGCCUAUCAGCUUGUUGGUGGGGUAAUGGCCUACCAAGGCAACGACGGGUAGCUGGUCUGAGAGGACGAUCAGCCACACUGGGACUGAGACACGGCCCAGACUCCUACGGGAGGCAGCAGUAGGGAAUCUUGCGCAAUGGGCGAAAGCCUGACGCAGCGACGCCGCGUGCGGGAUGAAGGCCUUCGGGUCGUAAACCGCUUUCAGCAGGGACGAAAUUGACGGUACCUGCAGAAGAAGGCCCGGCCAACUACGU